rnacentral:rRNA from 1 species
CGGGUGAGUAACGCGUGAGGAACCUGCCUCAAAGAGGGGGACAACAGUUGGAAACGACUGCUAAUACCGCAUAAGCCCACGGCUCGGCAUCGAGCAGAGGGAAAAGGAGCAAUCCGCUUUGAGAUGGCCUCGCGUCCGAUUAGCUAGUUAGUGAGGUAAUGGCCCACCAAGGCGACGAUCGGUAGCCGGACUGAGAGGUUGAACGGCCACAUUGGGACUGAGACACGGCCCAG